rnacentral:rRNA from 1 species
ACGAACGCUGGCGGCGUGCUUAACACAUGCAAGUCGAACGGAAAGGCCCUGCUUUUGUGGGGUGCUCGAGUGGCGAACGGGGGAGUAACACGUGAGUAACCUGCCCUUGACUUUGGGAUAACUUCAGGAAACUGGGGCUAAUACCGGAUAGGAGCUCCUGCUGCAUGGUGGGGGUUGGAAAGUUUCGGCGGUUGGGGAUGGACUCGCGGCUUAUCAGCUUGUUGGUGGGGUAGUGGCUUACCAAGGCUUUGACGGGGAGCCGGCCUGGGAGGGGGACCGGCCACAUUGGGACUGCGAUACGGCCCAGACUCCUACGGGAGGCAGCAGUGGGGAAUAUUGCACAAUGGGCGGAAGCCUGAUGCAGCAACGCCGCGUGCGGGAUGACGGCCUUCGGGUUGUAAACCGCUUUCGCCUGUGACGAAGCGUGAGUGACGGUAAUGGGUAAAGAAGCACCGGCUAACUACGUG